rnacentral:rRNA from 1 species
GACGAACGCUGGCGGCGUGCUUAACACAUGCAAGUCGAACGGAAAGGCCCUGCUUUUGUGGGGUGCUCGAGUGGCGAACGGGUGAGUAACACGUGAGUAACCUGCCCUUGACUUUGGGAUAACUUCAGGAAACUGGGGCUAAUACCGGAUAGGAGCUCCUGCUGCAUGGUGGGGGUUGGAAAGUUUCGGCGGUUGGGGAUGGACUCGCGGCUUAUCAGCUUGUUGGUGGGGUAGUGGCUUACCAAGGCUUUGACGGGUAGCCGGCCUGAGAGGGUGACCGGCCACAUUGGGACUGAGAGACGGCCCAGACUCCUACGGGAGGGAGCAGUGGGGAAUAUUGCACAAUGGGCGGAAGCCUGAUGCAGCAACGCCGCGUGCGGGAUGACGGCCUGCGGGUUGUAAACCGCUUUCGCCUGUGACGAAGCGUGAGUGACGGUAAUGGGUAAAGAAGCACCGGCUAACUACGUG